UGAGCAAUUCGGCUGCUUUGGCACCAGCAUCACGCUCACGCGUGGCUGUGUUUCUUGCCUUCUCCCUCGUCUGGCUCUCCAGCCACGUCCUUGCCGCCGGACACCCUGACUACGCCGACGCGCUCGCCAAGUCGUUCUCUUCUUCCAGGGGCAGAGGUCCGGCCGCCUGCCGGCGGACCAGGCCGUCAAGUGGAGGUCCAACUCCGCCAUGUCCGACGGCUCGGCCGCAAACGUUGACCUCACCGGCGGCUACUACGACGGCGGCGACAACGUCAAGUUUAAUUUCCCCAUGGCUUUCACCACGACCAUGCUGUCUUGGAGCAUCAUCGAGUACGGCGGGCGGAUGGAGGGGCGCGUUCACGACGCGCGCGCCGCGGUACGGUGGGCGACUGUAAGACAAUGAUUUGGGGAAACCAGCUUAACCUUUUAGGGGUGGCUUAUCUCAUAUAUAUAUAUAUAUAUAUAUAUAUAUAUAUAUAUAUAUAUAUAUAUAAUGAGUGUGUUACAAUAGGUACAAUAUACGUACACAAAUACAGAAGCUAUACAUAGUCUAACACCCUCCCUCAAUCUUAGCCACUUUCUAAAGAACUGAGAAGGGUAAGAUUGCGCCUACAAGCCUCGAACUGUGGUAAAGGCAAAGGCUUAGUGAAGAUGUCUGCAAGUUGAUCUUUGGAAGAGAUGAACUUGAUCUGAA